AUGAAUUUUUAUUCAACACUGUUGUUUGACAAGGAUAAAGUGUUUGACCAUAUGCAAAUUCCUCAUGUGGAUAUGGAGUCUCUUCCAUGUUUCACCCCAGUCCUUAGAGUUCUUCACGAUGCUGGGCUACUCAACUUCUGCACCGACAUCUGCAACUGGAAUGAAGAGCUUAUUCUUCAGUUCUAUGCCACUUUACAUCUGACAGGCAAUGUUGACGAUAUGAAUUCAUGGGUUUUGGACUGGAUGACUGAAAACACUCACCACAAAUCUCCGGCCUCUGAAUUGCUUCAUGCCAUCCCAGUCAGUCCACCCACUAAAGGCACUCCGAAAUUGUAUGAGGAACCUGAAUUGCAAAAUCAUCUUAUGCAAGUCUUGAUGAAGCCUUUGAAGGCUGGCCAAGCUCCAAGGACCAAUUACCUCGUCAAGGAUUUGCUAUAUGUGCCAAGGAUUGUCUAUCGCAUUCUGGCCAAAACCCUCAGUCCAAUUAAGGGCCACCACUCUGAAGAAGAAGAAGAAGAAGAAGAAGAAGUUGUUGGCAUCACGAAGAAUCUGCUUUUCAACAUCAUGCAUGGUAUUCCAAUCAACUAUCAUGAUUUCUUCAUGAGGACUUUGGCCAAUGCUACUUUGUCACCAUUUGAAUUGAAGCCUUAUGCUCCCUGGAUCAUGAAAUUCAUCAGAUCAAGGACUUCAAUUCAUUAUAAGGCUGACUUUUCAGAAUCAUCUCAGCUAUUUGCCCCCAAUUGA
rnacentral:rRNA from 1 species